rnacentral:tRNA from 1 species
AGGCCAAUAGCUCAAUUGGUAGAGCACCGGUCUCCAAAACCGGGGGUUGGGGGUUCGAUUCCCUCUUGGCCUG